rnacentral:rRNA from 1 species
CCUGACCUCGAUUCAAGCGGAUUACCCGCGAAC